rnacentral:rRNA from 1 species
CCUACGGGGGGCAGCAGUGAGGAAUAUUGGUCAAUGGGAGAGAUCCUGAACCAGCCAAGCCGCGUGAGGGAAGACGGCCCUAUGGGUUGUCAACCUCUUUUGUCGGAGAACAAAACCCGGGACGAGUCCCGGACUGCGUGUAUCCGAAGAAAACGCAUCGGCUAACUCAGUGCCAGCCGCCGCGGUAAUACGGGGGAUGCGAGCGUUAUCCGGAUUUAUUGGGUUGAUGGGGUGCGGAGGCGGUCUGUUAAGUCAGCGGUAAAAUUGCGGGGCUCAACCCCGUCGGGCCGUUGAAACUGGCAGACUUGAGUUGGCGAGAAGUACGCGGAAUGCGCGGUGUAGCGGUGAAAUGCAUCGAUAUCGCGCAGAACUCCGAUUGCGAAGGCAGCGUACCGGCGCCAGACUGACGCUGAGGCACGAAAGCGUGGGGAUCGAACAGGAUUAGAUACCCGAGUAGUC